rnacentral:rRNA from 1 species
AUUGAACGCUGGCGGCAGGCCUAACACAUGCAAGUCGAACGAGUGGCGGACGGGUGAGUAAUGUCUGGGAAACUGCCUGAUGGAGGGGGCUAACUACUGGAAACGGUAGCUAAUACCGCAUACCAUCGGAUGUGCCCAGAUGGGAUUAGCUAGUAGGUGGGGUAACGGCUCACCUAGGCGACGAUCCCUAGCUGGUAUGAGAGGAUGACCAGCCACAAUGGAACUGAGUAACGGUCCAGAGUCCGACGGGAGGCAGCAUUGGGGAAUAUUGCACAAUGGGGGCAAGCCUGAUGCAGCCAUGCCGCGUGUAUGAAGAAGGCCUGCGGGUUGUAAAGUACUUUCAGCGGGGAGGCGUUACCCGCAGAAGAAGCACAGGCUAACGCCGUGCCAGCAGCCGCGGUAAUUC